CCCUUAGAUGUUCUGGGCCGCACGCGCGCUACACUGAUUCAUGCAACAAGUUUUGUCCUUGGCUGAUAGGCCUGGGUAAUCUUUGAACGUGAAUCGUGAUGGGGAUAGAUGAUUGCAAUUAUUCAUCUUCAACGAGGAAUUCCUAGUAAACGCAAGUCAUCAGCUUGCAUUGAUUACGUCCCUGCCCUUUGUACACACCGCCCGUCGCACCUACCGAUUGAAUGGUCCGGUGAAAUCUUCGGAUCUGAGAGAUGUCUGAUUAAUUUCGGACGCCUUUUGGAAAAGUUGCUUAAACCUUACCAUUUAGAGGAGGGUGAAGUCGUAACA
rnacentral:rRNA from 1 species